AUUUUAUAAACUGUUGAUGGCUAUUCAGACUUCUUGUGCCUCUUCCUCAUUGGCUGAGAAACAGGCCAGUCAGGAUUGAUACAGGGAUUGGCCAGAGUUUUCCCUGAUGUCACAGACAGGAGGAGGAGAUCCCCAUGGCGGGAAGAAGAACAGCUGGUUAUUGAUAUGUUUAAAGGUUCAAUCAGUUGCCGAAACACUCCUGUGGAAGACAUGAAACUGAAGAAGAUGAUGUUGGACAGAACAAUGUCAAAUUCCUAAUAAGUGGAAAGAGAUAGUCAGCGAAGGAGGAACAAAAUCUCAUCAGGUGUUCGGUGUCAAGAGGCCCUUCAUUGUGUCAGUGCAUAAUAAGGAGUGAAUACAUCUGGACAGGGCCUUUUCACAGUACAUAAAUAUUUAAAGACAGGUAACUAAUUAAUGCCCAUCAAGAGAACUCUGAGUGACAGAAUCCGAGCUCAUCGUCCUACUGUAUUAGCAAGUUGACCUGGAGGAGAAAAGUCAAACCCAGCCUCAAGAAGAGCAAGGCCUCCCUCUCUGCCAGCCUCAAAUAUCUCUCCUGUGCUAUUUUUACUGUCUUUAUCAGAAAGGUGUUUGAGCAAAGUAUCGACAAGCAAGGAACAAGGAAGAUGUUCUCUCUUCAUCUCCAUUGUCAUCUGUCACUCUGAAGUGUGGAUGGAGCAAUACAUUAAGGUUUUAAGAAUAGUGAUCCUUACCAGCUGAGUAACUGUCCUAAGCCUUCUGUUAUUUGAUUUUUUUUCAAAAUGUUUCCAAACUUCUAAGGUGGACUUAAGUACAGAAUUUUGGAAGUUGUAGCACUAAUGGGGGAAGAUGGUUCAAGAAAUAAGAGAAGAGUAACAGAAAGGAGAGUAAAGAAAAACAGAGGCAUGGAAAGGCAAUAAAACAAAAUGUUGCAUCUAUGGACACAUGACUUGCUUUCAUUUUCAGUUAACCACUGUUUGUUGUAAUUUUCAAAUGGGAUAUUUUUAUUAGUCUUAAUGACGGGUAGCCUGAAUUUGUCAACUUUGAUGGCUGAGAAAUAGUUGUAGCAGUCUGUUUUCAAUCUGUAUAUGUCAGGAUCCAGGGCUCUGUCCAUAUGUGGGCAGGGGUUAAUGAAAACAACAGCUGGCUUGUGUCAGAAUGGUUUACUUAAAGCAAUAACUUAAAUACUUGGCCAUUUCAAGGUCCGAGUUCAAAAUGUAAAGAUACCACAAAGCUGAAGAUACAAAGCAAAGUCUCAUUAACAAUGACCGUGCUACAAAGUUCUGGAGCAAGAGUAAACAGUAGUCAAGGUUGCAGUCCAUAAGUCAGACUCCGAGAAUUCACUGAGUAAUGUUCCAAGGUGCAAGAGUAUAAACUGUAGUAAUAGUUCCAGGAAUCAAGCCAGAGUCAUCAAGAGUUCAAGGGAAAUCCAAUAUCUGUAAGUCAAAGCCAGAUAUUGUUCAAGAGUCUAGGAAUUCAAAGUACAUCAAAGUCCAUGAUAAAACUACAAAAUCAACAGUAUUCAAAGCAAUGUUCUCGCCAAGAUGCUAUUGUAGCUCAGCAAGAAGCAGAGGAUUUUUCUGAUGACUGAUCAGAGAAUGAGGGGGAUGAUGAAUUUCAAAGUGAGAAGUCUGUGACUGAUCAGAGAGAGUUGCAGGCAGAUGAGACUGAUGCUGUGGAUUCCUGUGCUCAUUCCCAGGCAACAGGGGAAAGUGAAAGUUCCAUUGAGAAAGGACCUUGGGCUGAUGGGCAGUGUUCUUAGGAAACUAGAUUAGGUCUCAGAACACAAGGAAGGAAAAAUAGACAAACGAGACAUUCUCAGAGAAUCCGAGAUAAAACCUUGAAGUCCAGG